rnacentral:rRNA from 1 species
GAUGAACGCUGGCGGCGUGCCUAAUACAUGCAAGUCGAGCGAACGGACGAGAAGCUUGCUUCUCUGAUGUUAGCGGCGGACGGGUGAGUAACACGUGGAUAACCUACCUAUAAGACUGGGAUAACUUCGGGAAACCGGAGCUAAUACCGGAUGAUAUUUUGAACCGCAUGGUUCAAAAGUGAAAGACGGUCUUGCUGUCACUUAUAGAUGGAUCCGCGCUGCAUUAGCUAGUUGGUAAGGUAACGGCUUACCAAGGCAACGAUGCAUAGCCGACCUGAGAGGGUGAUCGGCCACACUGGAACUGAGACACGGUCCAGACUCCUACGGGAGGCAGCAGUAGGGAAUCUUCCGCAAUGGGCGAAAGCCUGACGGAGCAACGCCGCGUGAGUGAUGAAGGUCUUCGGAUCGUAAAACUCUGUUAUUAGGGAAGAACAUAUGUGUAAGUAACUGUGCACAUCUUGACGGUACCUAAUCAGGAAGCCACGGCUAACUACGUGCCAGCAGCCGCGGUAAUACGUAGGUGGCAAGCGUUAUCCGGAAUUAUUGGGCGUAAAGCGCGCGUAGGCGGUUUUUUAAGUCUGAUGUGAAAGCCCACGGCUCAACCGUGGAGGGUCAUUGGAAACUGGAAAACUUGAGUGCAGAAGAGGAAAGUGGAAUUCCAUGUGUAGCGGUGAAAUGCGCAGAGAUAUGGAGGAACACCAGUGGCGAAGGCGACUUUCUGGUCUGUAACUGACGCUGAUGUGCGAAAGCGUGGGGAUCAAACAGGAUUAGAUACCCUGGUAGUCCACGCCGUAAACGAUGAGUGCUAAGUGUUAGGGGGUUUCCGCCCCUUAGUGCUGCAGCUAACGCAUUAAGCACUCCGCCUGGGGAGUACGACCGCAAGGUUGAAACUCAAAGGAAUUGACGGGGACCCGCACAAGCGGUGGAGCAUGUGGUUUAAUUCGAAGCAACGCGAAGAACCUUACCAAAUCUUGACAUCCUUUGACAACUCUAGAGAUAGAGCCUUCCCCUUCGGGGGACAAAGUGACAGGUGGUGCAUGGUUGUCGUCAGCUCGUGUCGUGAGAUGUUGGGUUAAGUCCCGCAACGAGCGCAACCCUUAAGCUUAGUUGCCAUCAUUAAGUUGGGCACUCUAAGUUGACUGCCGGUGACAAACCGGAGGAAGGUGGGGAUGACGUCAAAUCAUCAUGCCCCUUAUGAUUUGGGCUACACACGUGCUACAAUGGACAAUACAAAGGGCAGCGAAACCGCGAGGUCAAGCAAAUCCCAUAAAGUUGUUCUCAGUUCGGAUUGUAGUCUGCAACUCGACUACAUGAAGCUGGAAUCGCUAGUAAUCGUAGAUCAGCAUGCUACGGUGAAUACGUUCCCGGGUCU